rnacentral:misc_RNA from 1 species
CGCAUGCUUCUCUUUCCCGGAUUCUGAUUUUCUCAACUCAGAUGCAUUCGGCUUCUGAGCCUUCUUGACGGGCUUGAAAGGUUUCUUCAGUCUCUCCGUCUGGGUAUUAGAGCUAACAAGCUUCGGCUUUUUGGAAGCUGAGCCAUCCGUGCCAGUCUUGGCAUCUGGGUUUCGCUUUCUGUUCUUCAAGUUGCUGCUCUCAUGUUUCUUCGCCGCCAUUGAAGCUGAUGUCGAGCUGCUUGUAUCUGUUUUCAGUUGUUACUCUUGGGGUUUAUUG